AGUGGCAGAGCCUGGAUUAGAAGCCUGGCCCUUCCGACUCCCAGGCCGAUUGCUCUGUCCAUUAGGCCGUGGCACAGAGCACACGCUUAAAUGAGUAUCAUAGAAAAGAAAAAGGUGCUUCCUGGGGUGAUUUAGGGGCAGGAAGCUCCCUCCACGUGGGGUCGAUGGGGCACAGUCAGGGUGACUUAACCCAAACCCCCGACCUGGAAUCCCAGCCCUGCACCCAAGGGGGAUGGUCUGCCUAGCCAGUCUCCCCCAGGUCCGUUCCCACGCCAGGAGAGGCCCGGCGGGCCGCUUCCCCCUCUCUACUCCUUAAAGGAGCCAGUUCCAGCCGACACACCCCGACGACGAUGUCCAGAAUUUCACAGUGACUGUACAAUACAUCCGAUCAAUCAACGGUAUUUAUUGAGCACCUACUGAAGGCAAAGCGUUGGAAUGAGCACUUGGGAGAGUACAAGAGAAGAAGAAAAAGACAGUCCCUGCCCGCAAGGAGCUGACCAUCAGAAAGAUUUCAGGAGCGUUUGAAAACGAAAGCUGCUAAGUGAAGUUAUUCUUCUCCAUUAGGUCUCCUCCAGCAAGCCUCUUCUCUGGACAGCGCCUCCUUUUUUCUCCCUGGGCAAAGCAGUGCUGAGGGAUAGGGGGAAUUUUCCUGAAAUUCCCUCUUCUGCGCCUUUACAGUCGCCAGUGCCACUGAGCCCUGCUGUUGAUGCGGAGGAAAGAGCACACGCUUCUUGGACUCAGGAGACGUGGGUUUUGACCUCCACCCCUGGACUCUAAGCUUGUCGUGAGCAAGGAGCAUGUCUACUAACUCUGUUGGAAUGUGCUCUCAGGCAGUCAGUUGUAUUUACUGAGCGCUUACCAUGUG